rnacentral:rRNA from 1 species
AUUGAACGCUGGCGGCAGGCCUAACACAUGCAAGUCGAGCGGCAGCGGAAGGAAGCUUGCUUCCUUGCCGGCGAGCGGCGGACGGGUGAGUAAGGUAUGGGGAUCUGGCCGAAGGCGGGGGAUAACCACUGGAAGCGGUGGCUAAUACCGCAUAAUCUCUAAGGAGCAAAGUGGGGGACCGUUCAGGCCUCACACCUUCGGAUGAACCCAUAUGAGAUUAGCUAGUAGGUGGGGUAAUGGCUCACCUAGGCGACGAUCUCUAGCUGGUCUGAGAGGAUGAUCAGCCACACUGGGACUGAGACACGGCCCAGACUCCUACGGGAGGCAGCAGUGGGGAAUAUUGCACAAUGGGCGAAAGCCUGAUGCAGCCAUGCCGCGUGUAUGAAGAAGGACUUCGGGUUGUAAAGUACUUUCAGUCGUGAGGAAGGUGUUAAGGUUAAUAACCUUAGCAAUUGACGUUAGCGACAGAAGAAGCACCGGCUAACUCCGUGCCAGCCGCCGCCGUAA